AGUGAACGCUGGCGGCAGGCCUAACACAUGCAAGUCGAACGGCAGCACAGUAAGAGCUUGCUCUUAUGGGUGGCGAGUGGCGGACGGGUGAGGAAUACAUCGGAAUCUACUCUUUCGUGGGGGAUAACGUAGGGAAACUUACGCUAAUACCGCAUACGACCUACGGGUGAAAGCGGAGGACCUCCGGGCUUCGCGCGAUUGAAUGAGCCGAUGUCGGAUUAGCUAGUUGGCGGGGUAAAGGCCCACCAAGGCGACGAUCCGUAGCUGGUCUGAGAGGAUGAUCAGCCACACUGGAACUGAGACACGGUCCAGACUCCUACGGGAGGCAGCAGUGGGGAAUAUUGGACAAUGGGCGCAAGCCUGAUCCAGCCAUGCCGCGUGGGUGAAGAAGGCCUUCGGGUUGUAAAGCCCUUUUGUUGGGAAAGAAAAGCAGUCGGUUAAUACCCGAUUGUUCUGACGGUACCCAAAGAAUAAGCACCGGCUAACUUCGUGCCAGCAGCCGCAGUAA
rnacentral:rRNA from 1 species